CAUGGCGGCCGCGGGAAUUCGAUUUAUUACCGCGGCUGCUGGCACGUAGUUAGCCGUGACUUUCUGGUUGAUUACCGUCAAAUAAAGGCCAGUUACUACCUCUAUCCUUCUUCACCAACAACAGAGCUUUACGAUCCGAAAACCUUCUUCACUCACGCGGCGUUGCUCCAUCAGACUUUCGUCCAUUGUGGAAGAUUCCCUACUGCUGCCUCCCGUAGGAGUUUGGGCCGUGUCUCAGUCCCAAUGUGGCCGAUCAGUCUCUCAACUCGGCUAUGCAUCAUCGCCUUGGUAGGCCGUUACCCUACCAACUAGCUAAUGCACCGCAGGUCCAUCCAAGAGCGAUAGCAGAACCAUCUUUUAAACAGUUGAUAGGCAUCAUCUGUUGUUAUCCGGUAUUAGCACCUGUUUCCAAUCACUAGUGAAUUCGCGGCCGCCUGCAGGUCGACCAUAUGGGAGAGCUCCCAACGCGU
rnacentral:rRNA from 1 species